CCACCCGCCUGGUUUGCCUGGGACUGGGGGGUUUUACAGGAUGUGAGACUUUCAGUGCUAAACAUGGGAAAGU
rnacentral:pre_miRNA from 14 species